UUUAGGGACUGAUGCACCUCAUACUUGAAACAGCCUUGAACUGUACGUCUGACACGACCUCCUGAAACCUUGCCUCCUCCAUGAAGGCUUCUCUGACUAACUGGAAGCUGGAGUUACUCAGUCAAAAUAGGAUUAAAGAAGAGCAGCUUCUGUUCUACACUGGAGUCAUAUCUCCUGGCUGUUUUCCUCAUGAAACAAAUACUCCUUCCCCGGAUGACGUAGCCUCUCUUGAUUCAGAACCUCAGAUACGGUUCAAGCACCUCGUGGUUUCAGCCAGUGUCGUUGACCGUCCCUGUGAAGGAAAAUAAGAGCAUGAACGAUAGAAACAACAAGGUGGAGAGACAAGAUUUCUCCUGGAUUGGGCCUGCCUUCCAGUUCUGAAGCUGUGGAACAUUCAUUCUUCCUCCAGGUUCCUCCCAGUCUGGUGUAAAGGGUAAUGAUGAAGGUGACCUUUAUUGCCCUUCAUAUUUGUGGUAAGCAGCAGCUGCAGACGUUAUGACCAUUGGAAGAAUGACCCAUCACAGUGUUAAGAAAAUCCGGCUACAUUUUUAAUCAGAGCAUGGUAAGAGGCAAAGAAAACAGAACUAGAAUUUCUCUUGGGGAAACAAAGGCUCAUGUAAAUAGACACAAGAGAUUUUUCAACAAGAUGUUCAAAAAACUAAGUGUUUAGCACCGGGUAAACCAAA